GCCUAAUACAUGCANGUCGGACGAGAAAGCACUUCGGUGUGAGUACAGUGGCGGACGGGUGAGUAACGCGUAGGAAUCUACCUAGUAGUGGGGGACAACUCGAGGAAACUCGAGCUAAUACCGCAUACGCUCUAUGGAGGAAAGUGGGGGAUCUUCGGACCUCACGCUAUUAGAGGAGCCUGCGUUAGAUUAGCUAGUUGGUGAGGUAAAGGCUCACCAAGGCUACGAUCUAUAGCUGGUCUGAGAGGACGAUCAGCCACACCGGGACUGAGACACGGCCCGGACUCCUACGGGAGGCAGCAGUCGGGAAUAUUGCGCAAUGGGCGAAAGCCUGACGCAGCCAUGCCGCGUGUGUGAAGAANGCCUUAGGGUUGUAAAGCACUUUCAAUUGGGAGGAAAAGCUAAUGGUUAAUAACCAUUAGCCCUGGCGUUACCUUUAGAAGAAGCACCGGCUAACUCCGUGCCAGCAGCCGCGGUAAUACGGAGGGUGCAAGCGUUAAUCGG
rnacentral:rRNA from 1 species